CAAAGUUAAUAAGGGCGCACGGUGGAUGCCUUGGCACUAAGAGCCGAUGAAGGACGUGACUAACGACGAUAUUCUAGGGGGAGCAGUAAGUACGCAUUGAUCCCUAGGUCUCCGAAUGGGGAAACCCAGCUGCUACUAGCAGUUAUUCAUGAGUGAAUACAUAGCUCAUGUAAAGGUAACGCAGAGAACUGAAACAUCUAAGUACCUGCAGGAAGAGAAAGUAAAAACGAUUUCGUAAGUAGCGGCGAGCGAACGCGAAGAAGGGCAAACCAAGAAGCUUGCUUCUUGGGGUUGUAGGACUGCAACGUGGACUUAAGCAUUAUAGUCGAAUAACCUGGGAAGGUUAAUCAAAGAGGGUAAUAAUCCCGUAGACGAAAUAGCGCUUAUACCUAGCAGUAUCCUGAGUAGGGCUGGACACGCGAAAUCCAGUUUGAAUCCGGGAGGACCAUCUCCCAACCCUAAAUACUCCUUAGUGACCGAUAGUGAACCAGUACCGUGAGGGAAAGGUGAAAAGAACCCCGAGAGGGGAGUGAAAUAGCACCUGAAACCGUGUGCCUACAAGAAGUUCGAGCCCGUUAAUGGGUGAGAGCGUGCCUUUUGUAGAAUGAACCGGCGAGUUACGUUAUGAUGCGAGGUUAAGUUGAAGAGACGGAGCCGUAGGGAAACCGAGUCUGAAUAGGGCGACUUAGUAUCAUGAUGUAGACCCGAAACCUAGUGACCUAUCCAUGAGCAGGGUGAAGGUGUGGUAAGACGCACUGGAGGCCCGAACCAGGACACGUUGAAAAGUGUUUGGAUGACUUGUGGAUAGCGGAGAAUUCCAAACGAACUGGGAGAUAGCUGGUUCUCUCCGAAAUAGCUUUAGGGCUAGCGUCGAAAUGUAAGUGUAUUGGAGGUAGAGCACUGUUUGGGUGAGGGGUCCGUCUAGGAUUACCAAUCUCAGAUAAACUCCGAAUGCUAAUACACAUGUUCGGCAGUCAGACUGCGAGUGCUAAGAUCCGUAGUCGAAAGGGAAACAGCCCAGACCAACAGCUAAGGUCCCAAAAUAUAUGUUAAGUGGAAAAGGAUGUGGGGUUGCACAGACAACUAGGAUGUUAGCUCAGAAGCAGCUAUCAUUCAAAGAGUGCGUAAUAGCUCACUAGUCGAGUGACCCUGCGCCGAAAAUGUACCGGGGCUAAACAUAUUACCGAAGCUUUGGAUUGAUAUUUUAUCAAUGGUAGGAGAGCGUUCUUAACCGCGAUGAAGGUAUACCGUGAGGAGUGCUGGAGCGUUAAGAAGUGAGAAUGCCGGUAUGAGUAGCGCAAGAUAAGUGAGAAUCUUAUCCACCGUAAGACUAAGGUUUCCAGGGGAAGGCUCGUCCGCCCUGGGUUAGUCGGGACCUAAGGCGAGGCCGAAAGGCGUAGUCGAUGGACAACUGGUUGAUAUUCCAGUACUAGAUAUGAUCGUGAUGGAGGGACGCAGUAGGCUAAGAGAUGCCAGUUAAUGGAUUCUGGUCUAAGCAGUGAGGUGUGAGAUGUGUCAAAUGCAUUUCUCUUUAACAUUGAGCUGUGAUGGGGAAGCAACUACGGUUGCGAACUCUCUGAUGUCACACUGCCAAGAAAAGCUUCUAGCGUAAAGUCAUAUCUACCCGUACCGCAAACCGACACAGGUAGUCGAGGCGAGUAGCCUCAGGUGAUCGAGAGAACUCUCGUUAAGGAACUCGGCAAAAUAGCCCCGUAACUUCGGGAGAAGGGGUGCUGGUGUAAAAGCCAGCCGCAGUGAAUAGGCCCAAGCAACUGUUUAUCAAAAACACAGCUCUCUGCUAAACCGCAAGGUGAUGUAUAGGGGGUGACGCCUGCCCGGUGCUGGAAGGUUAAGAGGAGUGCUUAGACGUAAGUCGAAGGUAUGAAUUGAAGCCCCAGUAAACGGCGGCCGUAACUAUAACGGUCCUAAGGUAGCGAAAUUCCUUGUCGGGUAAGUUCCGACCCGCACGAAAGGCGUAAUGAUUUGGGCACUGUCUCAACGAGAGACUCGGUGAAAUUUUAGUACCUGUGAAGAUGCAGGUUACCCGCGACAGGACGGAAAGACCCCAUGGAGCUUUACUGUAGUUUGAUAUUGAGUACCUGUAAGUCAUGUACAGGAUAGGUAGGAGCCAUUGAAAUAGGGACGCU
rnacentral:rRNA from 1 species